ensembl:lncRNA
UUUUUUUUUUUUUUUUUUUUGGCUGAAGGAAAAACAGAGGUCAAAUGCACGCAGUUGCCAACAUGUUUCAUCAAGAUGUAAUUUUGAAAUAGUUGGUGGCAUAAAAGCUGCCAGAGCAUUGCUGUCCAAUUCACUUCCCAAAACUUUCUCUGAGGAGGCUGAAAAAACCAGUUACUGAAUACUAAAUAGCCAUUUAAAAGUGGCUCACAUGAAAGUUGGAUAUGUAGCACAUUUUCUUCUAUUUCUUGAUCUCUCAUGUAUGGGAAAUUGAGGAGUAUAAGAAUGGAAGAGUGUCAGACAUUGGAAGAGUGUGAGUACUCUGAGCCAAUGUAGAGAGGAAUGCAAACUGCAGCAGCAAAACACAGUGCCAAAUGAACCCAAAAACAAACAAUCAUAGGCACAGCUCUCUUGCUUUUCCAAUGGGUAGACUUAAACAACAGCCAAUAAAUCUGUGCUGUGAUCAGAGACAGUACAGGAAGUGCCUAACCCCCCAGUUCACUGUUCUGGCUUUAUUGUAGUGGAACUGGUUCUAACUCCUGGUUUAAACAGUGCUACGACAGCGCACAGAAUCAAGCCCACCAGCACUUAAUAAUUCCAAGCUCAACUAAACACCACCAGUAGGAAUGAGAAGGAAGCCAGACUGCUGAAUGCAUGAGCCAGGUGACUGCACAUCUGCAGUCUGUCCUGCCAGCCAUCAAAGCCUGGAUUACACAGCCAGCUCAGCUACAGGAGUGUUCAAAGCUGUACAUGAUCCAUCUGGACGCUGAACGUAAAUGGUCCGAAAAAAGAACAGUGCAUCUUCUCUGACUCAACUCUUGCAGGAAAUGAAGGUGGGGCAAAACCACAUGACUCUGAACAAUUCUGGGGAAGGCUCUCUGAAUUAUAAAAUCAUUGCCUGGGCUCAUAAAAAAACUCUGCAGGUGGAAGAAACUGAAAUAAGCUACUACUCAGAGAUGAAGAAGUCACAGGAACUUCAUUAAGAGCCAUCACAAAGUAUUACAGAACAAGAAGAGUCAGAAAUCCCUGGCUAAGAAUCUAUGGAAGAGGACAAUGAGGAGGAAUCUGUGCAAGAGGUUAUCCAAAAACUGCACUUCUAUUUUAGACACCCAAGACACCAAGUACUCUGCAGGACAUGCAUAUUUAAAUUGCACACACUUUUGGUCACUUGCUCAGGCACAAAUUUUAUUCAAGCUGAACAGCACAGUUGAAAAAGGUGCAAACUAUCAGAGCUCCACUGCAGCCAUCCCUGACUGAGGAUGAAAUAAAAAUAGGACAAGGAUUUGGUGCCUAGGAGAACAGAAACAGCUGGGAGAUGACAGACUAAGCAAUUACUGUUAGAGAUUCAUCAUUGGAGAGCUCCCCAGCUGAAGGAAGCGGUUGUCAGUGCAAAGCACAGAUAAUUUCAGUGUCAGCACACGGCCCGCUGAGCACAGGGGUUUGCCAGCAGAUUUCCCGCUGGCCGCUCCGCGGGUAAACGCUCUUGCAGUCAGACCACGCUGGCCAUGCUGUCUGUGCAGCUCGUGCAGAUAUCCCAGCUAUGAUGCAAGCUGUGGGGGGGAACAACCACACAGUUCAUCCAAACUCUUUCUUUAGGUUUUAGUAAACUUUGUAUUUCAAAAUCAUCUCGAUCUUCGGGGCCAGUUUUAUUCUAGACACUCCCAACAGCAGUAGCACCAAGUCAGGAGCCACGGCCACCCUUGCGCCAUCAGGUAUCUGCAUCAUUCCCAGUUUAUAGCCAGCCAUAGGCUCACCCUGCUGUGGGAUUAUGGGCCUUAGGGCAAAGUACACCGCAAGGACCUGCAUUUGCUCACCUGAAGCGUUUGUUGUUUUUUUGGUUUUUUUUUUUGUAAAGCAACUUUGGAUGGCAGCAGUAUUCUGCACAGGAGCAGUACAUGGGGGUGAUGCAGGAAAUACAGCCCCCUCUUUCAUUGGCACCUCAGUGAAGAGUCCUGCUGACUUCACUGGGACUAUGCCUUAGACAAAAGACUACAUAUGAGGGAAAGACUCAAGGGGUCUUUAAGCACAGAAAUAUUUCCUGCCAUGCACCAGUGCAUCAGAGCAUCAUGUUCUUCCUUCUUUGGCCUGCAUUUAAGCAGCAGUGAGGAGUUCUCAAUCUCCUUCCCCAAAAUCUUCUGAAGGUUAAUGCCUAUUGAGUGUCUUAAAUUACUUGAAUAAGAAAGGGCUGUAGUAGAAUACAGGGUCAUUGGGACAUUUUGAUGAGAAUUUGCAGCUUAAUUUCCUAGAAUUAAACUGCCCAACCUGUGCUCACAGGUUCCUUCCAAUGAGGGGAUGAGGACCAAAGUUACACUCUUACUUCUCCCUUCUUAAUAAAAGAAAUAAUCAAGGUUU